GAGUUUGAUCAUGGCUCAGGACAAACGCUGGCGGCGUGCAUAACACAUGCAAGUCGAACGAAAUCUACAUGAUUUAGUGGCGAACGGGUGAGUAACACGUGAGAAACCUGCCUUACACAGAGGGAUAGCCGUUGGAAACGACGAUUAAUACCUCAUGACACCGUGACAUCGCAUGAUGAUGCGGUCAAAGAUUUAUCGGUGUAAGAUGGUCUCGCGCCUGAUUAGCUGGUUGGUGGGGUAACGGCCUACCAAGGCGACGAUCAGUAGCCGAUCUGAGAGGGUGGACGGCCACAUUGGGACUGAGACACGGCCCAAACUCCUACGGGAGGCAGCAGUGGGGAAUUUUGCACAAUGGGGGAAACCCUGAUGCAGCGACGCCGCGUGAACGAAGAAGGCCUUCGGGUUGUAAAGUUCUGUCCU
rnacentral:rRNA from 1 species